UACGUAGGUGGCGAGCGUUGUCCGGAAUCACUGGGCGUAAAGGGCGCGUAGGCGGCGAUUCAAGUCGCAUGUGAAAGACCAGGGCUCAACUCUGGGGUGUCAUGCGAAACUGAAUGGCUUGAGUGCAGUAGAGGAAAGCGGAAUUCCUGGUGUAGCGGUAAAAUGCGUAGAGAUCAGGAGGAACACCGGUGGCGAAGGCGGCUUUCUGGGCUGCAACUGACGCUGAGGCGCGAAAGCGUGGGGAGCAAACAGG
rnacentral:rRNA from 1 species